ACAAUGUAGUUAUUUUUAGGUGGAUAAAUAGUGAUGAGUGAGGGAAGCUAUUGAAGCCUCUUAUUAUUUUAUAAUAGCUUAUUUUGCUUAAUAUCGUUUCGUGUUUUUUUAUUGGUGAGUUGGCUACAGUUAUACUAACCCAUUAAGCAGCGAUAUUAAAAUAUAUAAUUUAACAUUAUUUGUGGAAUUAGUCAAUUUUUUAACAAAGUUAUUUUGAGCAUUUUAAAAUUACAAAUUUAAAAAGCUAUGAUAUCAUCAUAAUAGUGUGUUUAAAUUCUCAAUACCAGAAAAAAACAGUGUAGUUAUAUAAAAAUGGGUAAAACACUCCGCGACGUAGUUUAAUAAUAUUUUAGGUGUUUGGAAUUGAAGAAAUGUUAUAUUAUUUUGUAGUAGUUUCUUUUAACUUAAUAUCAUCUAAAAGUACAGUUGUAUCAUCACACCCUGUCAAUACCAAUGAGAUAAACAAUUUUUAGAACACUCCGACGAAGUAGUCAAUCGUUUCAUGGAUGAUGUAACUAAAGUGGCGUAUUGAAGAGUUGCUCAAGACAAACGUUGAUAUUUGUAUGACACGUGAAGAAACUGAAGAACAUAUAAAAAAAACCUGCUGUGACUUGUGUAAAGGUGGUUUUACAGAGAAAAAACAUAGUGUAGCAGACCAUGAUCAUUUGACAGUUAAAGUCCUUGGAAGAGAUACUAGUAGAAUCAGUGUAAUACCUGCUACAGAAUAAAUAUAUUUUUCUUUUUCAAAAUUUGUUUCAACACAAGAUUUCGCUAAGGUUCGUAGAUACAUUUCGAUUUAUAUGAGUAAUAGUUUAGCGGCUCUCGCUGACAUAAAAUUAUUCGGAGAAACCGUAAAAGCAUUUUUAGGGGACGACGACAUUGAUUUAGUGAUACGUAAAGGCGUGUACUUGUUGUAUACCUCCAUUUGAGAUGUAUUAAAAAAAAAAAAUUGCCAUCAAAAGUCGAUUUUUAUAAUGAACUGUUAGAAACACAUAUUGAUGAGUCUGAAUACGAACGUUUGGCAACAUUUCAAUUGUAAAAUGCUUGUUGAGUACUCUGUCUUGUACCUGAAAACUGACGUAUCAAUACUUGCCGAUGUUCUUACAAAUUUUCGUAAAUUAUGUCUAUUAAAAUAUAAAUUGGAACCGGCAUAUUAUUUUACGAGUCCCGCUCUGUCUUUUGACGCUAUGUUUUUACGCAUACGGACAUACGGGCGUUUCACUAGACCUCAUGAGCAAUUAUGAACAGCAACUUUUUAUUGAGAGAGGAAUACGGAGAGGAAUGCCAAGUUCACUGUUGAAACAUGCCAUAUCCAACAAUGAAAAGAUGCCUCAGUAUGAUAUUAAACAUCAAAAAUCUGAAAUUAUAUAUUUGGAUGUCAAUAAUUUGUAUGGUUGGAGUAUGUCUCAACAUAUGCCAUGUGAUGACUUUAAGUGGUUAGACGUGGACGGCGAAGCAAAAAUUUUAAAGACAGUGAAAGAGUUACCGGUGGAUUUUCCUGUAGUGAUGGCCCUUGAAGUGACGAGUCGUAUCUGAAAGAGUUACAACGACGAAAUACCGUUUCUGCUUGAACGAAUAUGUCCGACUAAUUCACGGGUCAAAAAACUGUUGUCUACUUUCAAUCGAAAAGAAAACUAUGUUGUACAUUAUCUAAAUUUAAAACAGGUGCAUAAGGUGUUACAAUUUAAGCAGUCGACAAGGCUAGCAAAAUAUAUAUAACUCAAUACGGAGACAAAACAGAAAGCCUAAAAUGAUUUCGAAAAAGACUUUUUCAAAUUAAUGAAUAACUCUGUUUUUGGUAAAAUGAUGGAUUUUGCACAAUUAAUAAUGCAAAUGGAACUGGUCAAUAAUCCUAAACGAGCGACUAAAUUGAUUAAAAAGCAUAAUUUCAAACAUUGUACAACGUACAGUGAACAUUUAUUGUAUUGGAAUAGAAAAUUAUCGAUUUUUGUAAACCAGUAUACGUAGGUUUUGCAAUUUUAGAAAUUAGUAAAACUUUUGUAAGCCCAACCAAUCAGUGCUUUGACGUGUAGUAACGCUAUUGAUUUUACGAUGAUAUUAAGUUAAAAGAAACUACUACAAAAUAAUAAAACAUUUCUUUAGUUCCAAACACCUAAAAAAAAUAUCGGACCACGUCACUGAGUUUCCAGAAGCACUUUUCUAUUAUGACAAACAAUAAUAUAUAUAAGAAAAUACUGGUCGUCAACAACUUUUGUACAAGCAUUUCAGAAGUUAUCAACACUUUUACACCUACACAAUAGGGGAGGAGUACGGACAAGUGAUAAAAAUAACGUGAUCUAAGUCUCGCCACCAGUCUACAUUAAAAAAUAUUAAUAACUUCCGAAACACUAACUUAAUAAUAAAACAGAAUAAAAACAAUAUUAUAAAUAUUUGCUCGAAUAAAAUUCUAUGUUAUUAUAUUUUA